AUUGAACGCUGGCGGCAGGCUUAACACAUGCAAGUCGAGCGGGGAAGGGUAGCUUGCUACCUAACCUAGCGGCGGACGGGUGAGUAAUGCUUAGGAAUCUGCCUAUUAGUGGGGGACAACAUUCCGAAAGGAAUGCUAAUACCGCAUACGCCCUACGGGGGAAAGCAGGGGAUCUUCGGACCUUGCGCUAAUAGAUGAGCCUAAGUCGGAUUAGCUAGUUGGUGGGGUAAAGGCCUACCAAGGCGACGAUCUGUAGCGGGUCUUAGAGGAUGAUCCGCCACACUGGGCCUGAGACACGGCCCAGCCUCCUACGGGAGGCAGCAGUGGGGAAUAUUGGACAAUGGGGGGAACCCUGAUCCAGCCAUGCCGCGUGUGUGAAGAAGGCCUUUUGGUUGUAAAGCACUUUAAGCGAGGAGGAGGCUACCGAGAUUAAUACUCUUGGAUAGUGGACGUUACUCGCAGAAUAAGCACCGGCUAACUCUGUGCCAGCCGCCGCCGUAACAC
rnacentral:rRNA from 1 species